UACAGAGGGUGCGAGCGUUGUUCGGAAUUACUGGGCGUAAAGCGCGCGUAGGUGGUCUUUUAAGUCCGACUGUGAAAUCCCGGGGCUCAACCCCGUGGGCUGCAGGGGAUACUGGGAGACUGGAGACACGUAGAGGCAAGCGGAAUUCCGGGUGUAGCGGUGGAAUGCGUAGAGAUCCGGAAGAACACCCGUGGCUAAGGCGGCUCUCUAGUACGGUACUGACGCUGAGACGCGAAAGCGUGGGGAGCGAACAGG
rnacentral:rRNA from 1 species